AUUGAACGCUGGCGGCAUGCUUUACACAUGCAAGUCGAACGGUAACAGGCCGCAAGGUGCUGACGAGUGGCGAACGGGUGAGUAAUGCAUCGGAACGUGCCCAGUCGUGGGGGAUAACUGCUCGAAAGAGCAGCUAAUACCGCAUACGAUCUAUGGAUGAAAGCGGGGGACCGUAAGGCCUCGCGCGAUUGGAGCGGCCGAUGUCAGAUUAGGUAGUUGGUGGGGUAAAGGCUCACCAAGCCAACGAUCUGUAGCUGGUCUGAGAGGACGACCAGCCACACUGGGACUGAGACACGGCCCAGACUCCUACGGGAGGCAGCAGAGGGGAAUUUUGGACAAUGGGGGCAACCCUGAUCCAGCAAUGCCGCGCGCAGGAAGAAGGCCUUCGGGUUGUAAACUGCUUUUGUACGGAACGAAACGGUCUGGGUUAAUACCCUGGGCUAAUGACGGUACCGUAAGAAUAAGCACCGGCUAACUACGUGCCAGCCGCCGCCGUAAAAC
rnacentral:rRNA from 1 species